GUAGUCCCGGAAGUGGCUGGAAGACGAUGUUUGGAGGUUCGGGAAGGAUCGUGGGGGACACUUUUGCGUCCGAACCGUGACCUGAGGUUCUCGGGGGAACUUAAACAGCUCAGGAGCACUUGUGAGUCGAGCUCAAUCAGGGCGCGGGGCAUGACGGGAGUUGUAGUCAAGAAGAAAAGAUGGCACCUACCCUGGGCACCACCCCUGAGGCUUCGAUCUCCGGUGCCGAUUGGCUGCGGGCAGUGAUAGGCGGGAGCCUCGGCAAAUGGGAUGCGGCGGAGGCAAGAACAGCCCAUUCAACUUCUCCAGUCCCUCCCAGUACAGCCCAGUUCAUCCCCACUAGGGACCAGUUCAUCCCAAGUAAAACCCAGUACAACCCCAGUGCCCCUCCAGUCCCUCCCAGUACAGCCAAGUCCCUCCCAAUACACCUGAGUUUAUUCCAGGGCCCUUCCAGUUCCGCCCCAAUGUCAUCCACAGGAUGCCCCAGUGUCCCCAGUCUUCUACGCAAUGUCACCAGUGUCCCCAGUUUGUCCCAGUCAUCCCCAGUGUAACUCCCAGUAUGUCCCAGUAAGUCCCAGUGUCUCCCACAGCUCAAGGCACAGCUUCUGUGAGCAGGCCAGAGCUGCUGAGGAGAGACCCUGGGUCAAUAUCAAUCACAGAAUGCUGCAAUCACCUCUGCUCUAAAGAGAAAUAAAAUAAAACACAUCCUUUAAAAUAGGAAUGUGUAUUUCUUAAAAGCUCCUUGCAAUUUUUCUCCAUAAGUGGACUAGGAAAACUUUAAUGACCCUCUAAGGUCCUUGGUGGUGUUUACAUCAGACUCAGUCCCUGAGAGUGUUUUCAAGAAACUUCUUCAUAACUCAAAUGAAAACUCUUAGGUUCUUGAAGUUUUAAUGGGUCCCACUGAGGGACACAACUGAGAAAGUGUCCCCAGGUCCCAGGUAGAGCAGAACACUGGAGGCAGUGAUGCCAUCUGGGGACAAACAAGGCCAAGGUGUCUCUGGUGCUGAGCAAAGCUGGAUGUGUUUCAGGAAUGCAAAGGGCCAAGGCCUGAGCCCCAGCCCCUGGCCAGGCAGAUCCUGUCCCUCCCUCCUUGCUCAGGGCUCUUCCCGGGAUGGGCACUGGCAUGUGGGGAUGUGCAGUACCAAGGGCAGGAGCAUGGGGCGGCCCCUGCCAGGCUGCUGAGCAGGGACAAGGAGGCCAUGACCCUGCAAGGGUCACUUGUCUCCUGCUCCUGGCUCAGGCCCAGGCCCAGCAGCCAUGGCCAAAGUGCUGCCCAAGUUGGCUCUGUCAGGGCCUGGCAGCUGCUGCCCAUGCCUGUGCCCUGUGCAGCCCAGGCUGUGCUACGGUGUCCCUGCCCUGCGCCUCUGUCCCUGCAGGCUGUGCUCCUCCCCCGGCUGCCCCACCUGGCUGGCCCCUUCCUUUGCUGACAGCUCUGCCUCCUGCCUGCCUCUGCCUGCCCACACAAAGCCUUGGGCUGAUACCAAAAGGGUUAAUUCCAUUUUUACCCUGCCUGUGAACUUUCAGCACAGGAACAAGGCAUGCAGGGGCUGCUUUCCCAGCAAGGAUGGUUGGAAGAGAAGAAGAAGACAUCUGGCUGACGGGUGCUGGGAUAGAGAAAACAAGGACUGAAUCCAAGUUCCCAGAACUUGGGGUGGGUUUUAUGGAAAUGGGCAAAUUGCAAUUGGCAUUUAGCAGCUGUAUGUAAGCAACACACUGGUAGAAUUACAUGUCCACGUAAGGUUUGGAGUUAAUCCUCACCAGACCUCAAGCCUGAAUAAAUGGUACCCUCUGAAAUAGCAAA